GGCUCCGGCGGUAUCCUACAUCCGUGGUGACUCUAGAGCUAAAAGAAAGAAAAACGCGCUGUGCUUACCAGGUGUGCGCCCUGAUCCUGGCGCCCCCAGCCAGCCGCUGGUCGCGGGCUUCCAGCGCUCGCGUGGCGGUCUCGGCUGCAGCUGGAGCGCUAGUGGCGGCGAUGGAGGCAGCGGUGGCGAGUGGACCCUUUUGAAGUCAUGGUUGUUCCAGGAAGAAUCCCUUGAAUGCUCCCCUCCAGCUAAGGUCACAAAAGGAAAGGGGGCCCUGGUCACUAUAGCAAAGUGGACUGAACACUUAUUGGACAUACUGAUGUGGAUCUGAGAUCUGUGGCAUAAGCUUUACCCACUUUGCCAUGCGACUGUUCGUGCACCAAAUUGCCUGCGAAAUGAAGAGCUCAAAAUGGAAGACCAGUUUCCAAGCAAGAGGUAGUAAUUAAAAAGAUUCACAGAAGAUGGAAGCUGCCUUCUUAUCAUGAUGCCAGAGGACAUAAGAUUUGCAGAAGUGCUUGUUUCUAAGAGCACAAAUGAGAAUGUGGAGAAGGGAAAAAGAUAUC
rnacentral:lncRNA from 1 species